rnacentral:misc_RNA from 1 species
GAAAUGCGAUAAGUAAUAUGAAUUGCAGAUUUUCGUGAAUCAUCGAAUCUUUGAACGCACAUUGCGCCCUCUGGUAUUCCAGAGGGCAUGCCUGUUUGAGCGUCAUUUCUCUCUCAAACCUUCGGGUUUGGUAUUGAGUGAUACUCUUAGUCGGACUAGGCGUUUGCUUGAAAUUUAUUGGCAUGAGUGAUGCUAAGAAGUGCAUUCAGGAAAUAUCAAUGUAUUAGGUUUAUCCAACUCGUUGACAAUUCUUGGUUGUGAAUUUUUAGUGUUAGGCUUUGCCUUAAAAAACAACAAACAAGUUUGACCUCAAAUCAGGUAGGAUUACCCGCUGAACUUAA